rnacentral:rRNA from 1 species
AGAGAAGCGAAGCGGUGACGUGGAGCAAACCUCAGAAAGCCAAUCUCAGUUCGGAUUGUAGGCUGCAACUCGCCUACAUGAAGUUGGAAUCGCUAGUAAUCGCGAAUCAGAAUGUCGCGGUGAAUACGUUCCCGGGUCUUGUACACACCGCCCGUCACACCACGAGAGUUUACAACACCCGAAGUCAGUGGCCUAACCGCAAGGAGGGAGCUGCCUAAGGUGGGGGUAGAUGAUUGGGGUGAAGUCGUAACAAGGUAAC